UGCUCUGAUUGGCCCAGUGGGGAGAGCAGUCGUCCCACAAUGGGGAUGUUGUGGGUUCGAUUCCCGUCUCCCCCUGUCUGCAUGUCGAAGUGUCCUUGGGGAAGACGCUGAACCCUGAACUGCCCCACCGUUGUACGUCGCUCUGGACAAAAGCGUCUGCUAAAUGGAAUUGCAG